rnacentral:rRNA from 1 species
ACGUAGGUGGCAAGCGUUGUCCGGAUUUAUUGGGCGUAAAGCGAACGCAGGCGGAAGAAUAAGUCAAAUGUGAAAGCCCUCGGCUUAACCGAGGAAUUGCAUCGGAAACUGUUUUUCUUGAGUGCAGAAGAGGAGAGUGGAACUCCAUGUGUAGCGGUGAAAUGCGUAGAUAUAUGGAAGAACACCAGUGGCGAAGGCGGCUCUCUGGUCUGUAACUGACGCUGAGGUUCGAAAGCAUGGGUAGCGAACAGG